UGUUUUGCUCGAUUGAGGUUUUGUGGUUAUUUACGGUGGUGAAAUAUGGGUCUUCUAUGCACAACUAGAGACUCCGGGACUCGGCUGAUGUGAUAAUUGCUGACCGUGUUGACCGUGGUGUUUCCAAUGGCUUUUUUUUUUCUCCCACGGAAUCUCAACCAAGUGGACCGUGCUGGUGCCUCCGAUACUUUAUGGAACUCGUUUUCCACUCUAGAUAUGUUAAAAAGGAUUUCUAAAGCCAACAGACAAUUUUUCAAUUAUGAAGUGUAGUUACAAAGGAACCAUCGGACAUCGCACGUAGUUUGCGUACUGAAGCUAACUAGCUUGAACUAAUCUCCUGGUCAGGGUAAUGAUUCUUUCGGCCCUGUAGGCUGUGUUCGUAAUUUGCAUCAAGAUAGGUUCCCCCCUUCGAGUGGAACGAAUUCAAUUAAUCAGACAAUUUCAACCAGUAAUAAUGAUAUCAAAACGCGAAUACUUCUCGCUUGCAUAUCUUA